UACAGAGGUCUCAAGCGUUGUUCGGAAUCAUUGGGCGUAAAGCGCACGUAGGCGGUUCGUUAUGUCGGAUGUGAAAUCCCGGGGCUCAACCUCGGAACUGCAUUCGAUACUGCUUUGCUAGAGUACUGGAGAGGAGAUUGGAAUUUACGGUGUAGCAGUGAAAUGCGUAGAUAUCGUAAGGAAGACCGGUGGCGAAGGCGGGUCUCUGGGCAGUAACUGACGCUGAGGAGCGAAAGCGUGGGGAGCGAACAGG
rnacentral:rRNA from 1 species